rnacentral:rRNA from 1 species
CCAAUAGCGUAUAUUAAAGUUGUUGCAGUUAAAAGGCUCGUAGUUGAAUUUCGGGGUUCUACCGUUGGUCGGGCUAUUGUCCGUACUGGCGUGUAGAAUUUCUACCUUCUGGGGAACUAUCAUGUUAUUAAUUUAGCGUGGUAGGAAACCAGGACCUUUACCUUGAAAAAAUUAGAGUGUUCAAAGCAGGCUUAUGUCUGAAUACAUUAGCAUGGAAUAAUAAAAUAGGACGGUGGUCCUGUUUUGUUGGUUUCUGAAUCACCGUAAUGAUUAAUAGGGAUAGUUGGGGGCAUUAGUAUUCAAUUGUCAGAGGUGAAAUUCUUGGAUUUAUUGAAGACUAACUACUGCGAAAGCAUUUGCCAAGGAUGUUUUCAUUAAUCAAGAACGAAAGUUAGGGGAUCGAAGACGAUCAGAUACCGUCGUAGUCUUAACCAUAAACUAUGCCGACUAGGGAUCGGACGAUGUUAAUUUUUCUUGACUCGUUCGGCGCCUUACG